rnacentral:rRNA from 1 species
GUGCCAGCCGCGGCGGUAAGACGUAGGGCGCGAGCGUUGUCCGGAUUUAUUGGGCGUAAAGAGCUCGUAGGCGGCUUGUCGCGUCGACUGUGAAAACCCGCAGCUCAACUGCGGGCCUGCAGUCGAUACGGGCAGGCUAGAGUUCGGUAGGGGAGACUGGAAUUCCUGGUGUAGCGGUGAAAUGCGCAGAUAUCAGGAGGAACACCGGUGGCGAAGGCGGGUCUCUGGGCCGAUACUGACGGCUGAGGAGCGAAAGCGUGGGAGCGAACAGGAUUAGAUACCCUGGUAGUCCACGCUGUAAACGUUGGGCGCUAGGUGUGGGGGCCUCUCCGGUUCUCUGUGCCGCAGCUAGCGCAUUAA